rnacentral:rRNA from 11 species
CGAGUCAGACGUUUUAUCUCUAUAGAACCGCGAAAAAAGAUCGAAAAGUUUAUUUCUAAAAUAAACAAUACUGUACUAAAACUAACACAAGUGGGCCAGAUGAGUAUUCUAAGGUGAUGGGAGAAUUAUCCAUAAGGAACUCGGCAAAAUUUUUCCGUACGUUCGCAAGAAGGAAAUCCGAUAAGGAAACAUAAAAUCGGGGAGGGCAACUGUUUACUAAAAACACAACUUCAAGCUAAGAUUCAUAUCAUCGUAUUUGAAGUGACUCCUGCCCAAUGAUUGUAACUGAAAAUUCUUGGUGUUUUUGCUAGGAAUAUAAGGUCAAUUAAAUGGCGGCCAUAACUCUGAUGGUCCUAAGGUAGCGCAAUCAAUAUUCAAUUAAUUGUUGAAAAGUAUGAAAGGAGUAAUGAUCUUCCCACUGUCUCAUGGAUAAACCCAGUGAAAUUGAAAUCGUAGUGAAGAUGCUACGUAAAUGCUGAAAGACAAGAAGACCCU